AGAUGCGAUCAUACCAGCACUAAUGCACCGAGUCCCUUUAGAACUUCGCAGCUAAUUUUGCUUGUGUAAGUUUAGUCCUAGGAUGGGUGACUUCCCGGGAAGUCCUCGUUUUGCAUCCC
rfam:Arabidopsis thaliana chromosome 5, complete sequence.